rnacentral:rRNA from 1 species
AUGAACGCUAGCGGCAGGCCUAAUACAUGCAAGUCGAACGGUGGUAGCAAUACCAUAGUGGCGCACGGGUGCGUAACACGUAACUAACCUACCUAUAACUGGGGGAUAGCCCGCCGAAAGGCGGAUUAAUACCGCAUAAGCUGUUUGAGUGGCAUCACUCGAUUAGUAAAGAUUUAUUGGUUAUAGAUGGGGUUGCGGGUCAUUAGCUAGUUGGUAAGGUAACGGCUUACCAAGGCGACGAUGACUAGGGGAGCUGAGAGGCUGGUCCCCCACACGGGCACUGAGAUACGGGCCCGACUCCUACGGGAGGCAGCAGUAGGGAAUAUUGGGCAAUGGGCGAGAGCCUGACCCAGCCAUGCCGCGUGCAGGAAGAAGGCUUUCUGAGUCGUAAACUGCUUUUGACAGGGAAGAAUAAGCAUUACGUGUAGUGCGAUGACGGUACCUGCAGAAUAAGCACCGGCUAACUCCGU